AUACGUACCUUGUCAGGUCGUGGGGUUAUCUCGAAGGCUCUGCGGCGGCCGAGGAGGCUCUAGCAUCGCACUGCCGCUAGGGGAUCGCCUCGGUCUCGGUGGUUCCUUCGGGGCUGCCGAUUGGCGCAAUUUUUGCUAUUGCCUCCGUGCGCUCGUCGCACGGGGGCU
rnacentral:snRNA from 1 species